rnacentral:rRNA from 1 species
UACGGAGGGUGCGAGCGUUGUCCGGAAUCAUUGGGCGUAAAGGGCGCGUAGGGGGCGGCUUAAGCGUGCGGUGAAAGCUCGGGGCUCAACCCCGAGUCGGCCGUGCGAACUGAGUCGCUUGAGCACUGUAGAGGCAGGCGGAAUUCCGGGUGUAGCGGUGGAAUGCGUAGAGAUCCGGAAGAACACCGGUGGCGAAGGCGGCCUGCUGGGCAGUAGCUGACACUGAGGCGCGAAAGCGUGGGGAGCAAACAGG